rnacentral:rRNA from 1 species
UACGAAGGGGGCGAGCGUUGUUCGGAAUUACUGGGCGUAAAGGGCGCGUAGGCGGCCCGGUAAGUCAAAGGUGAAAUCCCUCGGCUCAACUGAGGAACUGCCUUUGAAACUGUCGGGCUUGAGGCCGGGAGGGGGUAGCGGAAUUCCCAGUGUAGCGGUGAAAUGCGUAGAUAUUGGGAGGAACACCAGUGGCGAAGGCGGCUACCUGGACCGGUUCUGACGCUGAGGCGCGAAAGCGUGGGUAGCAAACAGG